CAAAGAUGGUUCUCAUGACGUCCAUAAAGAACAUCAAAGGACACAAAUAGGAAUUUCUUACGUGGGUACUUUUACUCUAUGUGUUUAAUGCGUUUUCCCUCAUUUUUGUUUUGACCCUCGUGUACGGUUUUACUGUUAAAGAUGAGGAGAGCUGGACGUGAAUGAGACCUGAAGUAAUGGAGGGUUAAGGCCAGGGUGAGGCAGCAAUGCUACAUGUUCGAUGCAUCCUGUCAUUAAUGUGACAUCCAGCCUGCAGAUUGUACAAAAAGUUCUACGUGAAGCAUUUUCAAAGAUGGACUUCAGGGGAGAUGGACCGCAUGUUCGUAGACAUCGUCCACGGUGGUUCAUUUAUCCAAGAGGUUUUUUGCCACCUGCUAAUCAGUUGACCAAUCGGGACAUUGCCUGGUUGGGUAACAUGGUGAGAAGAGGAGGGAGAGAAAGUGACAUCAUGG